rnacentral:rRNA from 1 species
UAAAUGAAUCAAAACUUUCAACAACGGAUCUCUUGGUUCUGGCAUCGAUGAAGAACGCAGCGAAAUGCGAUAAGUAAUGUGAAUUGCAGAAUUCAGUGAAUCAUCGAAUCUUUGAACGCACAUUGCGCCCCCUGGUAUUCCGGGGGGCAUGCCUGUUC